GGAGAGGUGGCAGAGUGGUCGAAUGCGCCGGAUUCGAAAUCCGGUUUACGGCUCCGACGUAACGAGGGUUCGAAUCCCUCCUUCUCCGCCA
rnacentral:tRNA from 1 species